UGGACUUGCAAGAUGGCCUCACUAACAUGGCUGGCAAGCUGGUGUUGACUGUUGGCUUGAAGCUCAGCUGGGGCUGUUAACCAGUGGCCUCACUUCCUUUCUGCUUGGCCUCUCCACAUGGCUAGAUUGGACUUCUCACAGGGAGGCAGUCUCUGGAUAUUCAAACUUCUUACAUGGUGGCUGGCUUCUUCUAAAAUACAAAAAUGAAAGCUGCCAGGCCUUUGUAAGGCUUAGAAUUGAACUGGCACCCUGUCACUUCCUCCAUGAUCUAUUGGUUAAAGAAGGUCACAGAACCAGCCCAGAUUCAAGGAGCGGGGAACAAUCCAAGGACAUGAAUAUUGCUGUAUUUCCGGAACUGGAGCAAGAAUCAGUGUUGAGAGGUAAGGGGAGAAGUUCCGUAAAGAUAGAUUCAGCAUCUCAGAGAUUUCAAAGGAAGGUCACCUGUUUGUUUGCCAAGGGAUUGGUAGCCGACUUCCCGUGACUGACCAGCCUCUCAUUAGCUCUGCCUGACUGCAGACCCUCCAGCCCUGACAAGUCCUCCAGCAGCUCGUUGGCCUGAGCACCCACUCCUGCCUCUGCUAAGAAAACCAACCACCAGGACUCCCAGAUAGUAUCAAGAAACUGAAACUCACCAGAUCACUGCCUCUGGACCAUGAGAUGUCAGAUCCCUCACCUGUCACGAUUGCCUAACUGACCACCUGCUUCCUGUUGACCAUCUCCUCUUCCCUACCCUCCUUAGUUCUUGUUUUCCCAUACAUUGUUACAUUUCUUCCUUGCUCUAUAAACCUCUAAUUACAGUCAGUUGGGGAGAUGGAUGUGGGACUGAUCUCCCAUCUCCUUGGCUGCAGCACCCAAUUAAACCUUCUUUCCUGGCAAUACUCAUUGUCUCAGUGAUUGGCUUUCUGUGUGGUGAGCAGCAGGACGUAGGCCAAACCCCUGGUAUUUCAGUAACAUUUCCUUCUUGGAACACAGUCCCAUAUUGUAAGGAACCCAACCCACAUGGAGAGGCCAGGUGGAAGAGAGUGGAGGCACUCAGUCUAUGGUCCCAGCUUAGUUCCCAACUAACAGCCAGCAUCAACCACCAGCCAUGUAAGCUCUCCACUGUGGACAUUCAGCUCAGCCAAGGCCC
rnacentral:lncRNA from 1 species